UUUUUGUCGUGGACCGGUUAUCGUCCCGGUUCGGUUAGAAAGUAUAUUAAGAUUUGUCUUUAAUUACCAACUCGUGAGCAUAUAACAACAGAUCACCGAGCGUACAAGAUGUGAAAGUUGAAUGAAAAUUUCACAAAGAACUGAGAUUUGAUUGUACAAAAGAUACAAUACAAAAUCUCAUCUUAUACAGUUA
rnacentral:sRNA from 1 species